rnacentral:rRNA from 1 species
GAUGAACGCUGGCGGCGUGCCUAAUACAUGCAAGUCGAGCGAACAGAUGAGGAGCUUGCUCCUCUGACGUUAGCGGCGGACGGGUGAGUAACACGUGGAUAACCUACCUAUAAGACUGGGAUAACUUCGGGAAACCGGAGCUAAUACCGGAUAAUAUAUUGAACCGCAUGGUUCAAUAGUGAAAGACGGUUUUGCUGUCACUUAUAGAUGGAUCCGCGCCGCAUUAGCUAGUUGGUAAGGUAACGGCUUACCAAGGCAACGAUGCGUAGCCGACCUGAGAGGGUGAUCGGCCACACUGGAACUGAGACACGGUCCAGACUCCUACGGGAGGCAGCAGUAGGGAAUCUUCCGCAAUGGGCGAAAGCCUGACGGAGCAACGCCGCGUGAGUGAUGAAGGUCUUCGGAUCGUAAAACUCUGUUAUUAGGGAAGAACAAAUGUGUAAGUAACUAUGCACGUCUUGACGUACCUAAUCAGAAAGCCACGGCUAACUACGUG